rnacentral:rRNA from 1 species
UACGGGGGGGGCAAGCGUUGUUCGGAAUUACUGGGCGUAAAGGGCUCGUAGGCGGCCAACUAAGUCAGACGUGAAGUCCCUCGGCUUAACCGGGGAACUGCAUCUGAUACUGGAUGGCUUGAGUUCGGGAGAGGGAUGCGGAAUUCCAGGUGUAGCGGUGAAAUGCGUAGAUAUCUGGAGGAACACCGGUGGCGAAGGCGGCAUCCUGGACCGACACUGACGCUGAGGAGCGAAAUCCAGGGGAGCAAACGGG